rnacentral:misc_RNA from 1 species
GAUGAAGAACGCAGCGAAAUGCGAUAAGUAGUGUGAAUUGCAGAAUUCAGUGAAUCAUCGAAUCUUUGAACGCACAUUGCGCCCGCCAGUAUUCUGGCGGGCAUGCCUGUUCGAGCGUCAUUUCAACCCUCAAGCCCCCGGGUUUGGUGUUGGGGAUCGGGCUGUACUCCAGCCCGGCCCCGAAAUCUAGUGGCGGUCUCGCUGCAGCCUCCAUUGCGUAGUAGCUAACACCUCGCAACUGGAACGCGGCGCGGCCAAGCCGUUAAACCCCCAACUUCUGAAUGUUGACCUCGGAUCAGGUAGGAAUACCCGCUGAACUUAAGCAUAUCAUAAGCGGAGGA